AGCUCCAAUAGCGUAUAUUAAAGUUGUUGCAGUUAAAAAGCUCGUAGUUGGAUCUCGGGUCCAGGCUUGCGGUCCACCUCGCGGUGGCUACUGCUCGUCCUGACCUACCUCCCGGUUUUCCCUUGGUGCUCUUAGCUGAGUGUCUCGGGUGGCCGGAACGUUUACUUUGAAAAAAUUAGAGUGUUCAAAGCAGGCAUUUCGCCUGAAUAAUGGUGCAUGGAAUAAUGGAAUAGGACCUCGGUUCUAUUUUGUUGGUUUUCGGAACUUGAGGUAAUGAUUAAGAGGGACAGACGGGGGCAUUCGUAUUACGGUGUUAGAGGUGAAAUUCUUGGAUCGCCGUAAGACGAACUACUGCGAAAGCAUUUGCCAAGAAUGUUUUCA
rnacentral:rRNA from 1 species